rnacentral:siRNA from 1 species
UAGGCUAGUGACCUCCAUUGC